rnacentral:rRNA from 1 species
CAGUCGCCGCGGGAAUACGUAGGUGGCAAGCGUUGUCCGGAAUUAUUGGGCGUAAAGCGCGCGCAGGUGGUUUAAUAAGUCUGAUGUGAAAGCCCACGGCUCAACCGUGGAGGGUCAUUGGAAACUGUUAAACUUGAGUGCAGGAGAGAAAGGUGGAAUUCCUAGUGUAGCGGUGAAAUGCGUAGAGAUUAGGAGGAACACCAGUGGCGAAGGCGGCUUUUUGGCCUGUAACUGACACUGAGGUGCGAAAGCGUGGGGAGCGAACAGGAUUAGAUACCCCGGUAGUCCCUGUCUCUUAUAC